CUGUGAUGAGCAGAGCAGGAGUGAAAAGUGACAGUUUUGUGUUAUCCUGAUUUUUCUUUCAGUGACCCUGGACCAACAUCAACUAUAGUUGCCCCGGAAUCAAUAUCACCUACAGUUGCCCCGGUAACAACUACAGUGACCCUGGUACCAACAACAACUUCAG